rnacentral:lncRNA from 1 species
UGUUCCAAACGCGCAUCACUUGUUCGCUUACAGCCAGUAGUGAUCCAAAGCCCUCCCUCCCAAACAUUUCUCAUCAGAUCUACACAAAUCACGUAGGUCGCCUAUUUUGGAUUCAAAACUGCAAAUUUCGCCAAAAGAUGACUAGUUUGCAUCCCUGUAAACACACACAGCUUAUAUAUCAUAGCUAAACACACAUACAACUUAUGUAACAUAGCUAAACACACAGACAGCUUAUGUAUCAUAGCUAAACACACACACAGCUUAUAUAUAUCAUAGCUAAACACACACACAGCUUAUGUAACAUAGCUAAACACACACACAGCUUAUGUAUCAUAGCUAAACACACACACAGCUUAUGUAUCAUAGCUAAACAAACACACAGCUUAUGUAUCAUAGCUAAACACACACACAGCUUAUGUAUCAUAGCUAAACACACACACAGCUUAUGUAUCAUAGCUAAACACACACACAGCUUAUAUAUCAUAGCUAAACACACACAGCUUAUGUAUCAUAGCUAAACACACACACAGCUUAUGUAUCAUAGCUAAACACACACACAGCUUAUGUAUCAUAGCUAAACACACACACAGCUUAUGUAUCAUAGCUAAACACACACACAGCUUAUGUAUCAUAGCUAAACACACACAGCUUAUGUAUCAUAGCUAAACACACACACGGCUUAUGUAUAAUAGCUAAACACACACAUAUCACGUGUCUUUGAACCACAGGUUUGUAAUAUGGUCACGUCUCUCAGUUUGCAAAUUAGAUAUCUAAAAUGGGUAAGUCAAUAGAUACACUGUGCUAGCCUUUCCCCAGAACACAGUCAUACUCAAAAUAAAAUGAAUGCAUUCAUGGAAUGUUGCUUCACAUGCUUGAUCUCACUUAGAAGUGAGAUCACUUCGGGCCUCCCGAGUGGCACAGAGGUCUAUGGCACUGCAUUGCAUUGCUAGAGGCGUCACUACAGACACGGGUUUGAUCCCGGGUCUGUGUGGCUGGCUUCCGGGUUAAGCGGG